ACUGAGCAAACAAAGUCUGAGGGGAAACUUCACUCUCAAGCAGAAGUGACAGAAGGUACGAGGACCGAAGGACAGGGAUCUUCAGUAGGACAUACCUGCCUCAGGAUUCACAACUGAAUUGCAAAUCUUGAACCAUUUUGAGUUCAAUCCGGAUUUGUUGGACAUAACCUCAUCCCGAUGGCAAAGGAGAGACUGGUUCAGCCCCAGACUGUCAGACUGCUCCUUUGGUCUUCUUGAACUACGGGGAAGUAUGUUUGCCUGCAAAGCACAUUCAGUUCUAAUUCAGAUAAAGCUGAUGGAGCUGUGGAGGCUACCUGUCUUCUGCUGCUCUGCUGCGGAUCCAUCCUCUCAGUUGCCAUAGAGACAAGAUCUGGAAGCCAUGGAUGGGCACGGGAGUGAAGCCGCCGGCAAUCUCCAGCAGGGCCUUUCUCAGCAGGUACCGAGAGAGUCAGGCUCAGUCUCUGAAGGUGAGGAAGAGCCAGAAGAUGCUAACUCGGUGGCCCAGGAGAGGGACUCACACACCCAUUACAUUGCCAUUCAAAGAAAUUCCAAGUACUACCGGUCCAUGAGACUUCCAAGCAGAGGGAAAAGAAAGACUUCGAGAGAGGCAAUGCACAUGGGGCAUGCUACAGGUUCCCUCAAAAACAACGAGCCUGUCAAAGAGCCUCUGAACGUUUUACCUCAUAAGGGAUCGCCCUCCCCAGUAAACUCUGACAAGACACCUUUAGACGAACUAUUGAUCCAAAGG